AUGCUCCCUUUGUCAGCACAUACACUGAAAUUGGAACGAUACGGAGAAGAUUAGCAUGGCCCCUGCGCAAGGAUGGCACGCAGAUUCAUGAAGUGUUCCAUGUUUUU
rnacentral:snRNA from 1 species